AGUCGAACGGUAACAGGAAGAAGCUUGCUUCUUUGCUGACGAGUGGCGGACGGGUGAGUAAUGUCUGGGAAACUGCCUGAUGGAGGGGGAUAACUACUGGAAACGGUAGCUAAUACCGCAUAACGUCGCAAGACCAAAGAGGGGGACCUUCGGGCCUCUUGCCAUCGGAUGUGCCCAGAUGGGAUUAGCUUGUUGGUGGGGUAACGGCUCACCAAGGCGACGAUCCCUAGCUGGUCUGAGAGGAUGACCAGCCACACUGGAACUGAGACACGGUCCAGACUCCUACGGGAGGCAGCAGUGGGGAAUAUUGCACAAUGGGCGCAAGCCUGAUGCAGCCAUGCCGCGUGUAUGAAGAAGGCCUUCGGGUUGUAAAGUACUUUCAGCGGGGAGGAAGGGAGUAAAGUUAAUACCUUUGCUCAUUGACGUUACCCGCAGAAGAAGCACCGGCUAACUCCGUGCCAGCAGCCGCGGUAAUACGGAGGGUGCAAGCGUUAAUCGGAAUUACUGGGCGUAAAGCGCACGCAGGCGGUUUGUUAAGUCAGAUGUGAAAUCCCCGGGCUCAACCUGGGAACUGCAUCUGAUACUGGCAAGCUUGAGUCUCGUAGAGGGGGGUAGAAUUCCAGGUGUAGCGGUGAAAUGCGUAGAGAUCUGGAGGAAUACCGGUGGCGAAGGCGGUCCCCUGGACGAAGACUGACGCUCAGGUG
rnacentral:rRNA from 1 species